rnacentral:rRNA from 1 species
UCGUGAAUUCAUCUCCGGGGGUAGAGCACUGUUUCGGCAAGGGGGUCAUCCCGACUUACCAACCCGAUGCAAACUGCGAAUACCGGAGAAUGUUAUCACGGGAGACACACGGCGGGUGCUAACGUCCGUCGUGAAGAGGGAAACAACCCAGACCGCCAGCUAAGGUCCCAAAGUCAUGGUUAAGUGGGAAACGAUGUGGGAAGGCCCAGACAGCCAGGAUGUUGGCUUAGAAGCAGCCAUCAUUUAAAGAAAGCGUAAUAGCUCACUGGUCGAGUCGGCCUGCGCGGAAGAUGUAACGGGGCUAAACCAUGCACCGAAGCUGCGGCAGCGACGUUUAUGCGUUGUUGGGUAGGGGAGCGUUCUGUAAGCCUGCGAAGGUGUACUGUGAGGUAUGCUGGAGGUAUCAGAAGUGCGAAUGCUGACAUAAGUAACGAUAAAGCGGGUGAAAAGCCCGCUCGCCGGAAGACCAAGGGUUCCUGUCCAACGUUAAUCGGGGCAGGGUGAGUCGACCCCUAAGGCGAGGCCGAAAGGCGUAGUCGAUGGGAAACAGGUUAAUAUUCCUGUACUUGGUGUUACUGCGAAGGGGGGACGGAGAAGGCUAUGUUGGCCGGGCGACGGUUGUCCCGGUUUAAGCGUGUAGGCUGGUUUUCCAGGCAAAUCCGGAAAAUCAAGGCUGAGGCGUGAUGACGAGGCACUACGGUGCUGAAGCAACAAAUGCCCUGCUUCCAGGAAAAGCCUCUAAGCAUCAGGUAACAUCAAAUCGUACCCCAAACCGACACAGGUGGUCAGGUAGAGAAUACCAAGGCGCUUGAGAGAACUCGGGUGAAGGAACUAGGCAAAAUGGUGCCGUAACUUCGGGAGAAGGCACGCUGAUAUGUAGGUGAAGUCCCUCGCGGAUGGAGCUGAAAUCAGUCGAAGAUACCAGCUGGCUGCAACUGUUUAUUAAAAACACAGCACUGUGCAAACACGAAAGUGGACGUAUACGGUGUGACGCCUGCCCGGUGCCGGAAGGUUAAUUGAUGGGGUUAGCGGUAACGCGAAGCUCUUGAUCGAAGCCCCGGUAAACGGCGGCCGUAACUAUAACGGUCCUAAGGUAGCGAAAUUCCUUGUCGGGUAAGUUCCGACCUGCACGAAUGGCGUAAUGAUGGCCAGGCUGUCUCCACCCGAGACUCAGUGAAAUUGAACUCGCUGUGAAGAUGCAGUGUACCCGCGGCAAGACGGAAAGACCCCGUGAACCUUUACUAUAGCUUGACACUGAACAUUGAGCCUUGAUGUGUAGGAUAGGUGGGAGGCUUUGAAGUGUGG